GACGAACGCUGGCGGCGUGCCUAAUACAUGCAAGUUGAGCGCUGAAGGUUGGUACUUGUACCAACUGGAUGAGCAGCGAACGGGUGAGUAACGCGUGGGGAAUCUGCCUUUGAGCGGGGGACAACAUUUGGAAACGAAUGCUAAUACCGCAUAAAAACUUUAAACACAAGUUUUAAGUUUGAAAGAUGCAGUUGCAUCACUCAAAGAUGAUCCCGCGUUGUAUUAGCUAGUUGGUGAGGUAAAGGCUCACCAAGGCGAUGAUACAUAGCCGACCUGAGAGGGUGAUCGGCCACAUUGGGACUGAGACACGGCCCAAACUCCUACGGGAGGCAGCAGUAGGGAAUCUUCGGCAAUGGACGAAAGUCUGACCGAGCAACGCCGCGUGGGUGAAGAAGGUUUUCGGAUCGUAAAACUCUGUUGGUAGAGAAGAACGUUGGUGAGAGUGGAAAGCUCAUCAAGUGACGGUAACUACCCAGAAAGGGACGGCUAACUACGUG
rnacentral:rRNA from 1 species